CCCUUAGAUGUUCUGGGCUGCACGCGCGCUACACUGAUGCACUCAACGAGUUUACGACCUUGCCCGAUAGGGUUGGGUAAUCUUUUUAAAAUGCAUCGGGAUGGGGAUAGAUUAUUGCAAUUAUUAAUCUUCAACGAGGAAUUCCUAGUAAGCGCGAGUCAUCAGCUCGUGCUGAUUACGUCCCUGCCCUUUGUACACACCGCCCGUCGCUCCUACCGAUUGAGUGCUCAGGUGAAUAAUUCGGACUGCAGCAAUGUUUGGAUCCCGAACGUUGCAGCGGAAAGUUUAGUGAACCUUAUCACUUAGAGGAAGGAGAAGUCGUAACA
rnacentral:rRNA from 1 species